rnacentral:rRNA from 1 species
CCUACGGGGGGCAGCAGUGAGGAAUAUUGGUCAAUGGGCUUACGCCUGAACCAGCCAAGUCGCGUGAGGGAAGACUGCCCUAUGGGUUGUAAACCUCUUUUGUCAGGGAGCAAUUGGCGCUACGUGUAGCGUUAUCGAGAGUACCUGAAGAAAAAGCAUCGGCUAACUCGGUGCCAGCAGCCGCGGUAAUACGGAGGAUGCGAGCGUUAUCCGGAUUUAUUGGGUUUAAGGGGUGCGUAGGCGGAAUGCCAAGUCAGCGGUAAAAUCGCGGGGCUCAACCUCGCUCCGCCGUUGAAACUGGCGGUCUUGAGUGCGCGAGAAGUAUGCGGAAUGCGUGGUGUAGCGGUGAAAUGCAUAGAUAUCACGCAGAACUCCGAUUGCGAAGGCAGCAUACCGGCGCCCAACUGACGCUGAAGCACGAAAGCGUGGGUAUCGAACAGGAUUAGAUACCCCAGUAGUC